UACGUAGGUGGCAAGCGUUGUCCGGAUUUAUUGGGCGUAAAGCGAGCGCAGGCGGUUUUUUAAGUCUGAUGUGAAAGCCUUCGGCUCAACCGAAGAAGUGCAUCGGAAACUGGGAAACUUGAGUGUAGAAGAGGACAGUGGAACUCCAUGUGUAGCGGUGAAAUGCGUAGAUAUAUGGAAGAACACCAGUGGCGAAGGCGGCUGUCUGGUCUGUAACUGACGCUGAGGCUCGAAAGUAUGGGUAGCAAACAGG
rnacentral:rRNA from 1 species